GACACAGGCACCGGCUUAGAGACCUCAGUCCCCCGGAGGAGGCUGGUCUGUGGGCAUCUUAGGACAUCCGUGAGAAGGCUCCAGAUGGAAAAUGCUGGAGGGCCCAGGUUUUCAGGAAGGCACCUCCUCACCUUUCAGUCCGGGAGAACAUGUUCCAGCAAAGCCAGGGAGAGAGGCUCGCCGGCCCAGGCCUCUCCAGCUUCUCUUAAAGGCGAAAAGAGAAGCUGAGGACCCCGCACGCUCCCCAGCGCAUGGAGCUGAAGCCACGACCCCAAGGAUCCCAUCCAAGAAACCCUAUUAUGUUCAGUCAUCAGGUCUCCUUGGGCUCCUCUCGGCUGUGAUGGUUUCUCAGACUUGCCUUGUUUUUGAUGACCUGGGCAGUUCUGAGGCGUGCUGGUCAGGUGUUUUGCAGAAUGUUCUUCAGCUGGCAUUUGUUUGCUGAUUUUCCUCAUGAUGAAACUAGGGUCACGGGUUUGGGGGAAGAAAACCACAGGGAUAAGGGGCCAUUCUCGUCACAUAUCAAGGGCACAUACUGUCACCAUGACUUCUCGUUGCUGACGCUGACACUGACCCCCUGGCUGAGGCCGUGUUGGUCACUGUCCAGUUCCUCCUUUGGCCCUUUCCACGCUGUCCUCUUUGGAAGGAAGCACAUACCUCUCUGCACAGCACACACGGAAGGGCUGGGGAGUGAGGCUCCGCUCCCUGGAGGCUGAGUGUCCACCUGAUUCGGGAUUCGUCUGCACAGUUCGUCUGUCCUCCCUCGUUUGUGUCCCUCUCCAGUCACCGCUUUCCAGCGCUAUGGACUCAGGGAUACUUCCUUGAGGCGCUGGGUUAUCAUCCACUACUACUUCAUUCUGUUGCUCAGGCCUUUCCAGAUGUGGCCACUGGAGGCGCUUUCCAUUGGCUCCUGCGUCCCUCUGAUCUAUCUCAUCGCUGUGCUUUUGUGGAGCGCAUCCUUCUGAUACGAAGACGCGCCAGACUCCAGCUGUAUAUUCCCUGUCCUCGUCCUGCAAUCAGUCAUUUCUCCCAGGAGCCCUGGUUUCUCUCAUGACACCACGGUGUUAAAAA
rnacentral:lncRNA from 1 species